CGCGGGGUGGAGCAGUCUGGUAGCUCGUCGGGCUCAUAACCCGAAGGUCGUUGGUUCGAAUCCGGCCCCCGCAA
rfam:Oleispira antarctica strain RB-8, complete genome sequence.